rnacentral:rRNA from 1 species
UACGGGGGGAGCAAGCGUUGUUCGGAUUUACUGGGCGUAAAGGGCGCGUAGGCGGCCACCGCAAGUCGACUGUGAAAUCUCCGGGCUUAACCCGGAAAGGUCAGCCGAUACUGCGGGGCUAGAGUGCAGAAGGGGCAACUGGAAUUCUCGGUGUAGCGGUGAAAUGCGUAGAUAUCGAGAGGAACACCUGCGGCGAAGGCGGGUUGCUGGGCUGACACUGACGCUGAUGUGCGAAAGCGUGGGUAGCAAACAGG